UGUUGCUCGUGGUCUCGGAGCUGGUGCAACCAAGCUCCUUGGGAAGCUUCUCCCUGCACUCUGGGUAAGAGCCGCAAGUGAAGUCGGGCAGACUGAGAGUUUGCAGCUCAUAGGAAGAGCACUCAGUCCUCUUGGUUGAUAAAGUUUCUGGCUUGAUCCCGUAAUGCCGGCCAUUAGGAUGGAAUCCGGGGAAAGAGACUGAACUGGAAAUCGGUUCUAACCACGAGCGCACGUAUCUGCUGUCUCCAGCCGCAAGAUGCGAUUGAUGCAUGUAAGGAUGAUAGAUUCCUGCAACGGCGGCAGAGGAUUGAGGGUGAACGGGAGACCAGGGAUUUGAAAACGCGGUUGACUUGGGGGUAAAACUGCAGGAAGAGAAAUCUGAAGUGUCUGCAACACCUGAUGGCCUUGAAGCUGUGCCGUGUGAUCCUUGGGAAUACCUAGCCGCAUAUAAGUCCUCUGUCUCUUGACCUAUGAAAGAAUCAACAUAAUAAUUGUGUAUAGUGCCACCGGUCGACAUUUUAGGCUCUCUCGCUUUCAUAGAAAAGGUUACACUGGAAAGUGUAUCUGAUACCUUCACACAGAACAAUCAUAGUAUUUUGCCGACUACAGUUGCAGCUAUUGGUUGCGGGACUCACGUGAUUAUAUUUACCAAUACAGCGAGUAAAUCAAUCCGCUCAUCGGCCUGACCGCAACGGGGGCCAAGCCCAGCUUUAUACCAAAUUGAAAACCAUGCAUUAUGAAUGGACUAAACAAAAUCACUUGAUCAGAAUUGUUGGAAAAAUUCUGCUGGUUCCAAAGGAGCAACCUCUGCAAGCGCAGUUAAACCAGCCCUGGAGAAACGUGGGGACUACUUUCCCCGUCAGUUAAUUAAUGUCUGUCACUCAUUUCAUAAUCAGCAGUGCGUAGUCCAUGAUCUAUGUCAAGAGCAGAUAUCUGUUAGCUUAAUGCAAUAAAGCGGCAAGAAAACACCUUCGAGGCAAAUACGUUAUUAUUCGUCUUUUCUUCAAGAUGAACGAGAAGAAAACGCUCAACCGAUCACGGUGAAUUGUCAAAAUAGGAAGAUUAGAAAAACUGAAAGAGUUAACGUGGUUAAGAUUGAUUAUCAACUAUCUCUCCACCUUCACAAAUUAACUCGCAUUGAAAGAACGCAUUACAACUUAAAUACCCGCUGAACAGUGCGCCAGUGGUAAAGGAUUACUUUUCUUGUAAGUUUCCUGUCAUGUGAUACAGAAGACAAAACCAAAAUGCCCUGUUUAAAUAAUAGGUGCAUUUGCCCGGAUCGGGAUGCUACUAAACUCCAAAUGGGAAUUACUUUUCUAUUUAUAACUGUUAUCAAUGAAAAAAUAUCUGCUUUUUACUCGAACGGAGUCAUGUGAAAAUUUAAACAAAUGGAGGAAUCAAAACAAUGACAAAUGUCUUUGAAACUAAGAAAUGACGAUGAGAAGAGGCCGGCACGUUAUCCAUGAACAGCAAGGUACAGACCACAACAAGUCAAGUUUGUGCCUUACGAUAAUUUCCUGCUAUGGCAAAUGUUCACGAGGUAUCCACAGUUUGCAUCUCAGUCCCUGUAUGUCGCUGAUGUUUAACUAAACCAACACGCCCUGGACUAGUGGCAGUGGCAAUGUAAUGUAAAAUUGCUGUUUUAUAUGACAGCACGUCAAAGGAGCACCUAUCCAUUAAAACAAUGGAUAUUUUUGAUCUACAUGCUUUCUGUAAGCAAGCUUAGUUAGCAUUAAAUGUUCAAUUCGCGACCUUGAAACUCACAAAUGAACUUUACUUUGGCCUAAAAGAGUGAGAGUGUUUGUUCGCGCAUAACAAGCCUUUUCUUUUUCAUACGCCGGUUUUGAAACCAGAUUUUUACUUGUUGGUCGCUCAGAUUCAGUCUAUCGGACAACUCCUUCCUCUUCUGUCGAUUGAUGAACUCAUUCGCCAGAAAUUCAUUUUCAAGUUCAGCUAUUUGCUGUUUUGUGUACGGCUUGCGUUUUCGCCUUGACCUCACUUGGGUUGGACACCAGGGCAGCCCUGCAGAUGGAAAAAGAGAAACAAGCUGAAGCAAUGCGAACAUUUCAUCACCCCUUCCAAUUCAAAGCGAAUUCAUGUUUCAAUAUCUACUAUUACCGUAGACGGUAGCUUUUUUUUUAGAACGUUACAAGGUUAAUUUAAUGCUGUUUAUAGAAACGUUGCUCAAAAUUUGACAAAAGAAAAUAACAAUUUCGAUUUUUGUGAUACCUGUUCUUUGUAAAUAACAGAAGACCCCGAAAUAAUCUUUUCUAUGAUCAGAGGUCGACACAAAUAAAUUAUUCAUAUUAGGCAUUCAAGUACCUUAAUGUUCAGGAGACAUUGCAACACAAAAGUCGCAAUUACAAAUUCCAGAAAAAGCCAUGGAAGUUAAAAAUAAAAGUAGCAAAUUCAGUAAACAAUCACGAUUACAAUGUGUAAAAGCUAGCAGGAAAUUACACUGAAGCAUUUAAUUGUAAUUUAAAUGUUAUAAUUAAUUGAACUUUAAACAAUUUGAUCUAUCAUCUCUGCCGUGUGUUCAGUUUCUGAGUACUUUAUUUUCACGUUAUAAUCAUUUUUAUCAUUACAGGAUUAUUUUCCUGCUGUUCUGAAUGUUGUAAGAGCAAGGUUUCCAGGACCCCUGCUUGAUGAUUAAUAUAUGAAAUUCACGUGAAGGUGGCAGGUAGUUCUUUUGGAAAGGAGGGAGAAUUCAAUUUUCAAAUGGUCGUCGCUUUAAUAUUGCGUUGAUACUAUACCAUCGGAGGAUCUGUUGCAUACUGGCGUUACUGGUGACUGUAAUGACAUACUGAGGCUCACACUUUGCUUGAUGCCAUCAUUUACAGUGGGAGAGUUGGAAUUCAAUUCAAAGCCUUGGUUAUGUAAUGACGAGCCAUGUAGAGAUGUUUCCACGUUUGGGUACUCGUACUUGGCAACAUUGAUGUUGACUGAAGAGGGGAUGCUGGAAUCACUUGGAUAAGACUGAUUGUGUCUACAUCUCUCUUCCAGUUUCCGGCUGCUGUCUUGGAAGUAGUAUUUGUUUGGCUCUUCGCUGGCUGCUGCCUUCUCUGAUCCAUGCUUAUUGAUGCUGAUGGAGACGGAGUUGCUGAGGAACAACUGCGUGGCAAGAAUAUCAAUGCUCAUUUCAAACUCCCUUUAUAUCUUAUUUUAAUUAUUAAAAAAAUUAAGGACGAAUACUAAGGUUAUGGGUGAUCUCCCUGAAUAUAUUACAAUUCUGUACAAGUUUGAGGCUUCCUAAGGACGCUGUUCGUUUCAUUAUAAUCGCGAACCCUCGAUUUAUAAUUCGUCGAAGAAAAUUUUGAAUGAAGAUUGCUGAAGAAGACCAUCACAUGUAAUGCACAAUGCGCCAGCAAGGUUCCUGAUAUCUGCGAGAUCAAGGUAUAUUUUCUUUGACUUUAGAAACCACUUUCUUCUCCUUGACUCUUCUGUUCUGAAACCAGAUGGUGACUUGUCUUUCGGUAAGAUUGGUGGCAGUGGAUAUCCUUCGUCUUUUAUCUUUAGUUAUGAAUUUGUUUGUGGCGUAUUCUCGCUCCAGUUCUUUAAGCUGAGUUUUCGUAUAAGGAACUCUUUUCUUCCGCCCUCGCCUGUAAAUGUUUAUGUCAGUCUGAUUGUGCAUCACAUCUCCUGGGGGAGUGGGGGUGGGGAGAAUGUAAUUGAUAAGAACAUCAACUUCAAGCCGUAGCAGUUUAAAGCUGUUUUUUUUUAAAAUUAAAUAAUAUUGCCGCAUUCUUUUCUCUUUUAAGCAUAAUUUUAAGUAACCCAACCAAGCUAUUUAGUCAUAUGGUCAAUUCAGUUCAAUGUAUUUUUUCAAACCCAUGGUUAGUCUGUGUUUUCAGGUAUUAAGCUUUUGAAAUAUAGUAAAUUAAACGACUAAAUAAUUCCUGGCAAUAUUAAACCAACCUAAUGUGAAGUAAUUUUAUUUCCUUUACAUUAAAUAAAUCACAACGCUUUUCAGUGAAAGUCAUUUCAUAGUACCUGGAAGAGGAGAUUUCCAGAAAUGUGGAGUCUGUGUCUGAUCUUUCGGACAAUACACUUGACCAUUCCAGCCAUUAGCAAAUGUCCAGGGCUGAUAGCCCUCCAUGGAAAUUAAGGCUUCAUGCCUUGGUUCUCCGUGCCCGCUUAUUGUAGGGACUACUGGAACGUCCAAAUAACCAGAGACCCGCUGGUAGGGAUUGGGGUAGCUCUGAUAAAAUGCAAAUUCUUUUGCCCUGGAUGACACCUCGUCAGUGGGGACAGGCGUGUUAGUCAAACCCGAAACAUCCAUAUAUUUGUCCACUGGAUAACCGGCCAGAGAUGCAUGGGCACCAGAUUUCAGUCCAGUUUGUUGAAUGCCAACAUUUCGACAACUGUAGUAGCUGCUUCCAAAAUGAUAGCCGUAACUUAUCGCUGGGUUGGCAGGGCUUGUGGGAGCUGGGCAGGGGCUGCAUUGCUUGGCAGAUUCAGAAAUGACAGAAUGCGUUCGAUCUCCGACGGAGUAAGCGGGACCCGAAGAUAACGAGUUAUGAUGAGCUCCAAAUGCAGAGGGAGAUAGAAAAUUCCUGCAUUGACUAGAAGGGACGUUCCCUCCUAAUCCUUCCAUUUCCGAGUUAGUGGUAUUAUUUCUGUUGUGUAGGUACCUGAUUGUAUCAGUUCUCCAAGGGGCUGAAAGAAAAGAAGCUGUCAUAUCACGACCCACUGCAAACUAAGUACUGCUUUAGAGAAGCAGCCUCGGCAGUGAGAAGAGGUGCUUAUUUUCACUGAUUAGUGUGUGCUCUGAGCUACUGAAAUCUAAUAGGUCGAUAUUGGUCACGUGACGCGCAGCGACUGAAGCCCUGGCAUUACACUUCUUUCGCAAUGUUCAAACCGUUUAAUUUUUCCUCAAUUCAUUUAUUAUAAUUGACUGCAGGAGCUGCUGAACAUUGAAGAUAGAAAACGCGAUGGCUUUUUCCACGGCAGUACCCUUUAAGAUUUAUUUCACGUAUUUGGUAUUAUUGGUAUCUUGCAUAAUAUAGUCUGUAGCAAAAAUACAUAAUACGUACGGCCUACAUUGCACUCUUUGAGUAGAUUUUCCAUUCUAUUGAUUUCUAUUUCAAAUAAUGCUGGAGUAUCUUUUACAAAAUAACAAUUUCAAAUGUGCGUGGAAUGAACUAAAAGAAACUAUACAGUGAUAUAAAUUCUUGAAUGUUUGGAUACUGUGAUGAAUAAAAUCGGCAUCAACCUGUUUAGCAACAACAUAUGGUUCGGGAUAACGUAUAAAUCUUUCGAUGUCUUAAACGGCGCUAUUUUCAUUCUUAUGUACCCAAUUAAGAAAUAGAUUGGAAGGUUCACUACUUGUUUCACCAGUUCAUAAAGCAGUCAGACAUAGAUGGAUUUCCCCUUGAAUUUUAUAUUUGCUAAUUUUUCGAAAAUUCGGUGGAAAAUAAUUCGGAUCUAUGUUUUAUUUUCGCUCAGACGUUCGAACUGUUAAAAUGAAGGCAGUUUUAUUCAGUAUUUUCCUUAAUUUCUGCUGAUGUGUUCCCAGACUAUGGCGAGUGUAGAUGUCUGAUAUUCAUUCUGAUUGCCAUGCAAUAACCUGAUUGUAUAUGAUCAUAUUGCGUUUUCAGUGUAAGAUUAACACAUAUUGGGAAUAGUUUGCAUUUCGCAUAUAAUCAAUUUACAUUUUUCUCAAUUGCUACUCUCCUGUUGCAUGUGUCAAACAAGUAUGAUUUCGGAAAAGGAAUCGCCUUUUACAAAAAAAAAGGAAAUGCCGUUUUCCUUUCUUUAUGCCUUGGUUUAAUUAUGUAAAAUAUGAAGGUUUUAGACUUUGAGGUUAAGUUCCAGCAUAAUUCGAAUGCAUGAUUGAAUUCACCCAAGGGCCUGAUGAGAGAAAAGCAAAUAUUCGCUGAUGUAACUCCACUGUUGGAAGCAGGGCAUAUUUUGAUCAGCCCAGUGUACUUUAAUAAUAAUAUGUAGAAAAGUAUU